AGCAGCCGCGGUAAUUCCAGCUCCAAUAGCGUAUAUUAAAGUUGUUGCAGUUAAAAAGCUCGUAGUUGAAUUUCGGAAUUUGUCGGUUGGUCGGGCUUCACUGUCCGCACUGGCCUGAUGAAUUCCUACCUUCUGAAUAACCAGCAUGCUAUUAAUUUAGUGCGUUGGGGAAGCAGAGCUAUUACCUUGAAAAAAUUAGAGUGCUUAAAGCAGGCUCACGCUUGAAUAGAUUAGCAUGGAAUAAUAAAAUAGGACGGCUUGGUUCUGUUUUGUUGGUUUCUAGGAUCACCGUAAUGAUUAAUAGGGAUAGUUGGGGGCAUUAGUAUUCAAUUGUCAGAGGUGAAAUUCUUGGAUUUAUUGAAGACUAACUUCUGCGAAAGCAUUUGCCAAGGAUGUUUUCAUUAAUCAAGAACGAAAGUUAGGGGAUCGAAGACGAUCAGAUACCGUCGUAGUCUUAACCAUAAACUAUGCCGA
rnacentral:rRNA from 1 species